UCUUCAUUUCACGCACUCUCUCACCGGUCAGAGAGACGAGAGAGUGUGUGUGUGAAAUGAAGUGA
rnacentral:pre_miRNA from 1 species